AAGCAAAAUUUUGACACAGUAAGAUGAGCUCCCAGCUUUUGUUCAUCAUGAAUGCUUAAAGAUUAGCUUUGACAAAUUUCUGAUGUACUUUCAAAUAAGUAAAUACUUGCAAUUAAGUAAAUA